UAUUAGUUGAGUAAAAUAAUUUGGUGAGUAUUUGGAGUCAAAUAUAUGCAUGUAAGUAUAAAUUCUCUCUAUUUUUAACUUGCAAAUAUUGGAUACUUGAAGCAAUUGUAUGAUUUGUGGUUUUUGGUAAUAGUGAGUGACUAAGUGCCGUUGAAUGUUAAGCUUGCGAAUACUUAGGAAUUAUCAUCAUAAUUGCAAGUUCUGAAAACGCGAAGUUGACCAAUCGAUCUAUGUAAUGAGAUGUAUGGUUUUGUUUUGUGCUCUUAAUUUGAUUUUACUUGAGGACAAGCAAAAGUUCAAGUUUGGGGGUGUG
rnacentral:lncRNA from 1 species